GCUUCCGUAGAUCAACGGGAAUAUCGCCUCAGAGCUUUGUUGGACGCCCAAUUAGCUGCUUGAGGAGACGUGGGUUCGAAUCCCGUCGGAGGCA